UGUGAAAAGGCCAUUUUUGAAAAGGAUUUUUCUCCCUGGGUAUAAAGAGAUCCUGCCUGCUUGUUAGAGACUUGUUAGAGUUUAUAAGACUGGGCAGGAGGCUAACUUGUAAAAAUACCUUUUAUGCCACUUGAAUGUGUGGCUUGCUUAUUAUAUUCUGCCAUCCUGCCAGGGUGGCUGGUGGAGAGGAGAGAAGAGAGCAGCAUUGCCAACUGGCUAUAAAUUUCAUGAACAUCAUAAAUCUAGUAUUCCAGGCUGAGUUCCCAAGCAGGAAGGCUACAAACCAGAGCUAUGAAGUCACAAUUACAAGGGGAGGUCUCCAGUGAACCUUGGAAUCACCAUGUCCUACAGGUCCCCAGCGAGCUUUGUGUGGUGCAAUCAGCUCUCCAAAGUCAUAGGCCUGCCUUGUGGAAGAGUUGAUUUCAUCAUCACUGGAUCUCAACACCUCCCUCCAAGCCAUUACAGCCUGUCUGGUCUGAGAAGUGAAGAGUAGCUGAGAGGCCCGGACACUCCAGUACCCCAAAGCACAGAGAGAGGUUUUUUUUCUCUCCAGCUUGACUAUUUCUUUGUGCUUUAAAUAGCAAUUAAGAAUAAAAGUGGAGCUGCCUUUGCCUGUGAAAAGCUUCGUCUGACUCCUGUCUCCUUACUGCAGCGCCACUCUGAUUUCCAUCUCAUGCAUAUCUUAUUUAACAUUCUGGAUACUGUUUUGAG